UUGGCCAGGAUACCGGGAUUACACCCCUACUCUUAAUCGAAGGACAUCCUGAUAUUUUUAAUGACCACAGAGAGUCAGGACCUCGGUUUAACGUCUCAUCCGAAGGACGUACACUGCGCGCUGCAGAAAUCAGCCUUAUAAUUCGUUAUCGACAGGGUUGAACAAUUACCUUGACUACUAAAGAUUGUUUAGCAAAGAGCUUGCCAGAUCUGACUCCUUUAAUAACCUUACCAAUAAAUACAGAAUCGCUUGACGAUAUGACCAGCAACAUGUGCACUAUUUUCUCUAACCCUGAUAGCAAGACUCCGGGGCGGAUCUGCCUUCAAGUCACCUGGUCCGCUGUACUCUCAGAUUCAAUUCGGCCACAAGCACAGAAUAUGCCCCGCCUCCGCAAAACGCACUGUCAACUCGCGGACUCGCAACUGACGCUGGGCGAAUUCUCUGACCGAAAGCGUCUUUUUUAAACCGUCACAGUCACUUAAUCCAUCUCCUCACACAGUGGAAACGCUGGAGCUGGCAGGUCGGUGAGGACGGAACACGCUUACAGCUCAUUCAAGUGCCACUGGUCUUGCAGUAUUUCAUCUUUUCCAAACAACCGAGUAAACUUAAAGCUUUCAAGUGCCACUGGUCUGUUUUUGGAGAAUUUCAUCGUUAAGGUGCUGUGAGAAAGAGCCAUGUCUCCCGUGCCGCCACUGACACAUAAUACGGCGGUUCAACUUUGCAGCAGAUAGGGGAAACUCAAGGAGCUGUCCCACUGUCAGCACCCAACAGUAGCGUUUGGGUGUUUCACUGUUAACUUCUGUGUUUAGAAGUGUUCGUUUAACAGUUAAGUAGUAACAGCUGAGAUAAAGUUUACUACUUUAAAUAGUUAGUGUUUUAUUUAUUUAAUUUUGUUUCUAUUCAUCUUCAAAAAACCCAGUUUCCACACAAAAAAUAAGCAGUGCAACAUUAAGAAUAAAUGUUUUUUGAGCUACAUUAAAAAAGUGUUCUUCAUUAAAUAAAAAAUGUUC